UCUCAGAUUUGAAGGGUUUCUGAUCAGCCAAGCGCCUCCUGGAGGAAUACAACUGCUCUUGCAGUAAACCGUUACUUUCCAAAAAUUAAUAGAACAAAGUAUAAUUACAUUGAGAAUGGGACGCACGGGAUUAAAUAAAAUAUUACAUCUUAACAUCCAACUGUCUUGUGAUCAUUGUCAGAGGAAGAAUCAGUGGACCACAAUAUGUCGACUGCCAAAAAUAGCUACAUCACAGAAAGAACAAAAAUUAAAGUAGUAAGUUAGGUGAAGCAUAUGAAAGAGAAAUAAUGCGAUUAAUAGAAUAAUUAAGUUUAGUAAGACGAUCUCUGGAAGAAGUAGUUGCUUGCCAACAAUAACAGCGAUUCUAGGAAACCGAAGCGUCCUAGUUUCGUUUUGUACGUCACUGGGGCGUGGUGAAGUCUAAACGUGUCCAAGUCACGAGUCUAAAAAAAUACUGAAGUGUGUGCCGUCGAUGGCCGUUCUCACGUUGUGUAGUUUAAUGUAAGUUAAACUCUUCGAAAGCAUGCCAUCUCUAUUCACCGUCAUCGGUAUUACAGCUGGGGCAGCUGGUGCUGUACUUCUGA